rnacentral:lncRNA from 1 species
CUCUCUCUCUCUCUAAACCCCGUCGCUGCUGCUCCUCCCCUCGUCCCUACUGCUCCUCCUCCUCCGCUCAACUUCUCCAACUUGCUGCUACUGCUUCUCUCUCUCUCUCUGUAUCUCUCUCCCUCUGAAAUUUCUAUAAAAUUAAGAUGUUUAAGACUUUGUAAGGUUCAGAUUUUAAGAGUUCUUGAAACCUGCUCCAUGUCUCAUGGCUCUGUUGAUUAGUACCCUACUGGCAUAUGUGUAUGUUUAGCCCUGUGCAUUUGUUUCUUGCCACCUACUGUAAUCUGUCCCGUACUAGUAACUUUACUCCAGUUUACUUGAUGUUCAGGUUUUAGUCUCUGUACUAGCUAUGUACCAGUGACAUUUAUGCUUGUGAUUUUCCAGUGAAUGUGUUUAAUUUCAGUCCAUAUGUUAGCUCAAGUACCUGUUCUAUAUAAAUAUGUGUGUGUGUGUGUGUUUGUCUAUUUUAUGUCCUGUAAUUUUGUUUCUUGCCUCUGUCUUACACUUGUUAGAUAAACAUAUGUGUUCUAGUAUUGUUGUUUUCCUCUGGUCAUUUUUGUAUGCUUGUGUCAGUGUUUACUUUUUCAAGUAAAACGAUAAUACCAAAAAGACAGAGAGUACAAUCUAAACUUCCCUUUGGUUCUUUUCAUUUUUUUACUGACGAUUUUCUGGAACAGUCUUAGAUUGUUUAGGUUUAUUUUCAUGCAAUGAUAAUCUGAACCGCGUUACCUAGCAUUAGCUGAGUAUAGUUGCCGUCGCCUAGUCCCUGUGGAGAACACGACACUCGCAGUUUGGGCGUAAAUAUUCCGCUGUACUUUCAAUUGAUCAUUUUGGCCCUGUUGCCGGGGACUAGCGUCGAACGAUUGUGUGAAGCUAUAGACUAGGCUUAGUAUAGUUUUUGUUUAAAUUUCCAGUCAAAUUUAUUUCGGUGCUUCUUUUACCUUUUUACUUUUUGUUGCUUCGUCUUAUUAGGAUACUAACUUUCUGACUAGUGUUUACUGUUUAUGAGUGUGCGUAGGAAAUCUGAACUAAUUGCAGGUUGUUCUAUAGUUACACUCGGUUAAGAUAGCAUUGCUUCGUGAUCUUUGGAUGCCCAAAAGUCAGUGCUAUAUCACAGGACCGGUUUGGCCAACUAUUGAGGCAGAGAACUUCGAGCUAAAACCUAGUCUUAUUGCUUUGGUUCAACAACAAUAGUUUGGAGGACUUCCUACUGAAGACCCUUAUGAGCACUUGCUUCGAGUCAUGGAGUAUUCAGAUACAGUAAAGUAUCAUGGAGUUCCUCAAGAUGUUAUCAAGUGCAUGUUGUGCACAUUCUCUCUCCGAGAUGAUGCUCGUGCUUGGUAUCGAUCCUUGCCAUCAAGAUCAUUCGGUUGGAAUGAGAUAUCACGAGCUUUCUUGGAUAAAUAUUUCCCAUUACACAAGCAGUCCGCAAUUCGAGAUGAGAUCUUCAAUUUCAUUCAGCGUGAAGGCGAGAGCUUGUAUGAUGCUUGGGAGAGAUACAUAGCCUUAUUCAAGAGAUGUCCUAAUCAUGGGAUCGAUAGAUGGUUAGAGCUGCAGAUAUUCUAUAGAGGAUUGACUUCGGACACUCGAGCUUACGUCGAUAUGGCAGCGGUGGAGCUAUUACAAACAAGACACUUGAUGAAGCUUUUAUGCUGAUUGAGAACAUAACUUUCCACCAACUUCAGUGGUACAAUAAGAAGCCCACGUCUGAUUCAUUGGUUUGCUUGCAACAAAUCACUACACCUCAGCCACCAAUUCUUACACAGAAGCCUGAACCUCAAUCUCAGUGUGACAAGAUUGAGCUUGCAUGGAUUAUCUUUGACGAUGAUGACACCAUUCUAGUUGACACACAUGCUAUAGAUCAUAUGGAUACUAGUGUUGGAGAUUCGGUUUUGCAUUGUGAUGAUUCUUCCAUGGAUGAGCCAGAGCUGUAGUUAGUUGCUUUUGAUAUUGAGGAGUCACCUUUAGUUGAUAUUGAUCAUGUGCUGCUAGAGCCAGAUAUGGAGAAGUUCACCUUCGAUGAUGUUAGCCGCAUUGAUUCCUCAGCACUUGAGCCUGAGAUGGAGAGCUUCAUGGUUAAUUAUGAUGAGGUGGAUUCAGAUGUCAAGGAGCCAAUCUCUACUAUUUCACUUGUUGACACGAGUCCGGUGAAAAUUUCUACUACCACAUCUCACUUGGUAUCUUCAAUUGAGGUAGUCCUGAAGCCUCUUCCUAACUAUUUCAGGUAUGAUUUCAGCUUUCUCGACAAGAUAUGCCAUAUCAUGGAUACUGCCUAUGCACCAUGCGAUUUAUUGAUGAUAUCUAUUUAUCAUAUGCUUAAUAGAUAUGCUUAUGUGAUAUGAUACUCUAUUGAUGACUUAGAGGGCAUUGUCCCUAUCAUUUUUAUUGGCUUGUUUGCUGAGUGUUCUUUCAGGUUUAUGCUUGUGCACCAUUCACUGCGGGCUGCCCAAGUUCGAGAUGACAUCCCAUGGGAUUCUGGUGGAUUCACGGCAUGGUGUUGAGGAGAAGCAAUGAGCACACAUGACAAAGAGGGAAGCUGGAGCGUCCAUGAGGAAGCAAAGGAGAAGACCUGCAGUUGGUGGGAUGAUCGAGCGAGUGCUACAUCAAAGCCCGGUGAGCUGUUUCAUGACCCCAAUAUUAAUAUAUCAUCCAUUGAUACAUGCUGAAAUCAUUUGAUAUUUGGGUUGCUUGAGCCAUUUCUUAAAUGUUGUCCCACUGAAUUUUACCUUUGACAUAUGGUGCUUGAUGUGAAUAUGUGAACUGAUUUCUGAAUGCCUUGUAAACUAGUGAUCUAUACAAUGAUUGCUUUGCUGAAAUUAGUGAGAACUAUUAGUUUUGAGUGCUCAAAUCCCUAGUGCACUAGUAAACUUAAUCAUUUUCUGCAUUUACCUUGAUACACCUAGAUCACUAUGUUCAGAUGAUGUAUUUGUGCCAAGUGUGUUCCCAUUCAGAGCAAUCACUUUACCACUAUGGACUAGCAUGCUAUGUUCCCUGGAUCGGUAGCAUGUGAACCAAACAUGGUUGAGUGAUGAUUCUUAUUUUUGUUCAAAAAAUUUAUAUCUUAUAAUGAAUAAUAAGUCUGACUACCUACAGUAGCAUGUCAUGUUCCCUGGAUCGGUGGCAUGUGAAAUCGGGUUAGCUUGGGUAGUAAUUAAUAAGUAAAUAUGUAAUUGUCCAACCGGGUGUACCAUGUUCUCUGGAUCGGUGGUAUGUUCCUUUAGGGAGACAAACAAUUUUUUAAUAAUAAUUGGUUGAGCCAGGUGUAUACCAUGUUCUCGAGAUCAGUGGUAUGUUCCUUCUGUGAGACUAAUAAAAUAAUAUGUGUGUUUCUUUCAAAUUCAAUAAGUGGUUCAACCACAAUGUUAUAUCUCUGUAAAUAAGUGAUUUGAUCACAAGAUUUAAUUCUAGUUCAUUUUGUUCUCGGGAUCAUGCUCUCUUUAGGAACCAUUUGUCACAGUCAAUCACUUAAACUUGUUGAUCCUCUUUUAUCAUUGUAAAAGUUUAAAAUGGUCAUGCUUACUAGUAUCCUACUGCUUUGUAGCACUCUUAACCAUUAAUUUUUCACUAGCUAAGUCUGAAGCAUGCCUUGUUUGGAGAUCUAUAUUACUAGGACAUUCUUUACUCAGUUCAUUGUUCACAUUCUUGCUCUUGUCAUAUGCCUUUGCUUGAGGACAAGCAAAGAUUUAAGUGUGGGGGAAUUUGAUAAGUAUAUUUCACAUAUAUAAUUUUGGUACUCAAAUAUAGCAUCUAUUGUGAUAUAUUCGUCCAUUCUCACCAUGAUUGAUUGAAUAUUGCUUGAUAACCAUAAAAGAGGAUCAUUUACUAGUCUUUGGUUUUUUUUGCAGAAAUGUGCGCAAAGGCACUAUAACCGUCAAGAUUCCGUCUAGGUGGCUAUCGAGAAGAGUGAAGAAAAGAAGAGAAGGAAGAAGAGACUUGUGUGAGAUCAAAAGAAGUAACCAGGGAGCUAGCUAAAGAAGUGGGAGGACCUUCUUGUGAAGAAAGAAGAGAAGGAGGAGGGCUAAUGUGUAAAGUUUGCAGAUCAGGGAGGGGAUCAAAAUCCCCAGAUCGCAUCCAUUCCCCAUCGGGCCUGGCACAUCUCUCUCUCUCCCUCACCCCUCCUUCUCCAACUCCGAUCGCUGCCAUGGCCAGGCCUACGUGGUGGUGCACCUCUGUCACCCAUCCAUCCACCAGCAUACCCACAACCAGCAGCCCCCAUCCACCACUGCACUAGCGCCACCAUCUCCAGCCACUACCGCCAUCAGCACCAAGCGCCUCUCUCCUCCUUGCUGCCCCGAUCUUGCUCCUCUUCUCUCUCAAUGUCCGCUGCUGCUGCUCCUUCUUCCACGCAACCUCCUGCUGCUCCUUCUUCCUAUGCGCCCCUGCUGCUCUUCUUGCGCCCAAGCUACUGCUCCUAUUUCUUUUCCUUUGCUGCUGCUCUCUCAACCCUCCAUGAUGCUGCUGCUCUGAACUCCAACCUUCUGCUAUAUAUAUCUCUCUCUCUCUCUCUGAACCCCGUCGCUGCUGCUCCUCCCCUCGUCCCUACUACUGCUCCUCCUCCGCUCAACUUCUCCAACUUGCUGCUGCUUCUCUCUCUCUCUCUCUCUCUCUCUGUGUGUGUGUAUCUCUCUCUGAAAUUUCUAUAAAAUUAAGAUAUUUAAGACUUUGUUAGGUUCAGAUUUUAAGAGUUCUUGAAACCUGCUCCAUGUCUCAUGGCUCUGUUGAUUAGUACUCUACUGGCGUAUGUGUAUGUUUAGCCUUGUGCAUUUGUUUCUUGCCAUCUACUAUAAUCUGUCCCGUACUAGUAACUUUACUCCAGGUUAUUUGAUGUUCAGUUUUUAGUCUAUGUACUAGCUAUGUACCAGUGACAUUUAUGCUUGUGAUUUUCCAGUGAAUGUGUAUAAUUUCAGUCCAUAUGUUAGCUCAAGUACCUGUUCUAUAUAAAUAUAUAUAUAUGUGUGUGUUUGUCUAUUUUAUGUCUUGUAAUUUUAUUUCUUGCCUCUGUCUUACGCUUGUGAGAUAAACAUAUGUGUUCUAGUAUUGUUGUUUUCCUCCGGUCAUUUUUGUAUGCUUGUGUCAGUGUUUACUUUUCAAGUAAAACGAUAAUACCAAAAAGACAGAGAGUACAAUCUAAACUUCCCUUUGGUUCUUUUCAUUUUCUUUACCGAUGAUGUUCUGGAACAGUCUUAGAUUGUUUAGGUUUAUUUUCAUGCAAUGAUAAUCUGAACCGCGUUACCUAGCUUUAGCCGAGUAUAGUUGUCGUCGCCUAGUCCCUAUGGAGAACACGACACUCUCAGUUUGGGCGUAAAUAUCCCACUGUACUUUCAAUUGAUCAGCUGUACACUAAACUAGGCUCUCCAAGAGUUCCUGGAGAUCCAGUUCGAAGGUAUGCCUAGUUUUUACAUAGUGCACACAUAGUAAAUGCUCAUUUCAUUGUGUGCAAGUGCAAUAGAUGUGGCAUGUUUCAUUAUGUGGUGUUGUUUUGUUAUAAUCUCAUCAUUUUGUGUUGUUCAUAGACUGAAAAGUAUGCAUAUCUAUCUUCCAAGGAGACGAGUAAGUAGUUUGUGUCACCUUGCAGAGGGGGUGCAAUGAAGAUAAGAUUGAGGAUUUCCAAGUAAAAGAUGUUAGGAAGUAGCUUUGCAAGAGAAGUAGGAUCAGCUCUGAGCCUGUUCAACUAGUUAAG